rnacentral:rRNA from 1 species
UACGGAGGGGGCUAGCGUUGUUCGGAAUUACUGGGCGUAAAGCGCGCGUAGGCGGCUUUGCAAGUUAGAGGUGAAAGCCCGGAGCUUAACUCCGGAACUGCCUUUAAAACUGCAUCGCUUGAAUCAUGGAGAGGUUAGUGGAAUUCCGAGUGUAGAGGUGGAAUUCGUAGAUAUUCGGAAGAACACCAGUGGCGAAGGCGACUAACUGGACAUGUAUUGACGCUGAGGUGCGAAAGCGUGGGGAGCAAACAGG